AGGCCAGAGAUCAUGUCAGAAGAGAAACUGAGGAUGUACAGAAUGGAGAAAUGAGGAGUUAAGUUAGGAGGGGUGGUUUGGGUGACUUUGGUAAUGAAAGACUAUUUGAAGGGCCGUCACACUGAAGAGUGAUUAGAAUUAUUCUACUUGGCUCCAGAGGACACCACUGGAAGCAAUGAGUGCAAAUUAUAAAGAGAGCCGCACAAAGUGGAAUGGACUGCCUGAGGAGAUAGCACAUUCUUCCUCACUCUUAAGUCUUCAAGCGAAGCCUGAAGACCUCUUGUUGGGGAAGAGCAUUCUUAAGAGAGGAGAAUGGUUGGUCCUCAGUUACUGCUGGAAAAAAUAUCACAUUGAGUCCUGGAUGUGAGCCAUCAAUUCCAGUGGAAAUAAUGACUUGUAGCACCACAGCCCAUUGUAAAAUCUGAUAACUGAAUUGUGUUGAGCACAGAAGGAUCUGAAAAAUAAAAAAAAUUCUUCUCUGAGAGAGCUUCAAACUAUGGAGAGCUUGUUAAUACUCUUUGCCAUAAUUCCUUCUAAUGACAACAGGAAGAGAAACAUUGCCACCAAUCUAUGGAGCAUACUCAAGAAGGAAAUGAAGAUCUGAACAGGAGUUUAUUUUUACAUUGAAAAAAAGCUCCAAAUGGAUUUCCAUAGUGAAGAUAAUGACACACAGCUUUAUCAACAAUGCAAUAGUGUCCCUAUCUUUCCACAACCCCUCCAACAUCAACUAUCCCUAUUUUCUGUCAUCUUCAUCAAUUUGCAGUUUGUAAGGUAAUCGUUCUGGAAUAAAAUAGCAGAAUCUAGCACUUGACAUAGGAGAGUGAGUAGAAGCCUUCAUCCCUAUUUUUAGGGCUGGCUGCCAUCGUUCUGGGCCACCAGAUAUGUAGAUUAUUGUUCAGCUUUUCCCCCUCCC